rnacentral:lncRNA from 1 species
CACAGGGGUGGCCCAUAGGCAGCCCUCGAUAAUGGUGGUUGCGUCCAAGAACGGCAGCCAGUGCCGCCUUUCUCCUCUUCCUCCCUCAUCCGGCUGCUGCCGGCCUCCCCAAGAAUCGAUCCCCGCUGGAGAGGAAGGCCAGCUGGUCCUUUCUUUCAUCGUGAGGACGGGGACCAGGGGGAAGGUUACAGCCAGUGACUGGUGAAGCCGGAAUUCGAAUCCAGCUCUCUGGGCUUCCUGCGCUCCCACACCCUCCGAGCAGGCUCCGCACUCACUGCCUGUCCGCAAACGCCAGGGCAGGCAGGCAGCCCACAGUCCCGCUUCCGCCCCUGUGCGUCUCCCGGCUUGAGGCCGGGCGUGUGCAGUCCAGGGAGCCCGGGCCGCCUGUGCCCAGCGGCCGGGAGAAAAUCGUGGCUCUCCCUCGCCCGUCCCCCACCCCCACUGCCCGCCUCCGCCACUGCCGGCAUGGCUGGCCCGCUGCCCCGGGAUGCGGUGCGUCAGGGCGCGCAGGUGAGGAGCCUCGGGCUCUGCGCAACCGUGCCCACCGAUGCCCGCGCUGCGCCAGGCGCAGGGACGAGCCGGCGCGCCCCGCUCCCAAUGCAGAGGUUGGUCCUCCCCCGCCCCUCUCCACCCCCAAGCCCGCGCGGUCCCUUCCCCCCACGCCCCUUCUCCAAAGGAAGGAAAUUUACUAGAGAGAGUCCGGGGGCACGGGACCGGGCUGGCUCUCCAGGGCGCGGGCAGCUGAGCCAUGCCCCCGCAGCUCGCCCUCCCAGUCGCCCUCCGGGGGCUGAGGCGCAUCUUUGUUCCGGCCUCCUCCUCCUUUCCUCCCCCCACCCCACCUGUGAUCCCGCAGCGCCCGGGACCUAACUCUGGGCUCCUCUCCCCAAGCCGAGGACUACAUCUUUAAAAAAAAAAAAAAAAAUGAAAGGCAGCCACAUGACAAAGCUUUAUUGCGCUCAAUGACACCCAAGCGGGCCGGCCAGGUUCGCGGGCAGGGGCCCCCUGUGCGGCCGAGGCUCCGAGCAGCCCCUGGCGUGCUCCCCGGCCUCGUGCCCGGCUCUCUGCCGCCCGCAAUCUUGCUGUAAUGUGCCCUGCGUGGGUUCCCCCCCCCCUUCUUCCCCUCCCCUUUGCAGAAGUCUGCAGAUGGAGUCAGGGGAGGGAGCAUAAACAUCUCCCCCGCAUUGACACCGGCCUCCGAGCCCAAGGGGGUGCUCCCCGUGGUCCUCCUCCUGGUUUUCGAGCAUCCCCAUUUAAAGGCUAUGCCGUAUUUCAGCCUUUCCCCCCGCCGUCGGCCAGAGGGCUCGAGAGGGGGAGGGGAACGUCCAUCUCUCCCUCCCCAUUCUUGUUUUUACUCUGGAUGUUACUGCAGCGGCACCGAGGUGACAGGAGCGCUCCGUAGCUCCUCCGAGCCCGGGCUGCUCUCCGAGGCAGGGGAUGCCCCCCGGCCACGCCGCUGGGGACUCGCUCGGCUCCCGGAGGGCUGAGAGGCGGCCUUCGGAAUCCCCAUUUUUUAAAAGUUGUUUAACUACAUUCUUCCGAUGACUGGCAGAAUGACUGCCUGAGAGCGGGAGAGCAGGGACAGUGUGUGGCAGCCUCUAGGAAGUUAGGACCAGAAAGGAAGGCGGGAGGGGUCUAGCAAAGGCGCAGCAGCAUCUCCCAGGACUCCUGGAAUGGUUCAGAGCAGUUCAAUUGGACACAAGUUUGCCCGGGAGUGUUUUCCUUUUGUCAAUAAUUAAUCACUGGAAUCAGCCUGGCAAGACUGGAGUUUUAAAAACAGUGCAGAGGGUGAGGCAGGAGAAACACCUCGGGCUGAUCAAUCCAUCGGUAACUCCAAGCAGGAGGAAGCCAGUAUCCACACUGCUCAUCAGCCCACAGGCAGUCCACUGGGAGCAAGAGAUCCAACCGACUGCUGCUGGCUGACAUGAUGAAUCUACGGUACGUGAAGGAUUACUUUGCCUGGCUCUAUUACCAGUACACCAUCAUCAGCUGCUGCGCUGUCCUGGAACCCUGGGAACGAUCCAUGUUCAACACCAUCUUCCUCACGAUCGUGGGAAUGGUAGUGUACACGGCCUACGUCUUCAUCCCCAUCCACAUACGUCUGGCUUGGGAAUUCUUUUCGGAAAUCUUUGGAGACCAAAGUACUGCUUCUGCCUCUAAUUGAAAUUGCUCAACACCGAGAGGGAAGGGCCUCUGCACUCUGUGAAGUUCUAUUACGUAAUGAUAUUGUCGCUUAGGCGUUUCUGAUUCGUGUGAACAUUGCACCUUCUUGAAACAUCUGACCUGAAAAACAGACUCUUAUCUAUGCACUACUCUACACUUUCUGGGUUUGAAAAGAUUACUUACUGAUCACAAGUACCCACAAUGCAAAUUUCUCCAUAAGAAAAAUACUUUUCACAUUCUAAAGGCUUUCAAAAAGAAAUAUUAGAACUGUCUGUUCCUCAAAUCCAUGAUUUCAAAUCUAUUUUCUAUCAGAACAAUUUCUUAUUUAAGUCUGUCUGGUAAGCAACAGGGACAGGCACUUAUGAAAGAGAUAGGAAAGAGAGGUUUGGGGUACUAAAAGAGAAGAGUAAAUGAUAUUUUUGUAAGAAAUGAUGCAGGAUAGGUAUUGUCUAUUCUGUUUGACGGCGUAUGAGAGAUAUGUGCCCAAUUACAGGAGCACCUCAAGGCAGCAUCUCCUGGGAAGCUGCCCAUUUCUUCCAAUGGUUUCCCCUCCAUCAUAUAAGAAGGGUUUAAGGCAUCUAUACCUUUACAGAAAACACCUCGUGUAAUCUUUCCCCCCAAAAGCAUGACCAACACUGGGGUCGUAGUAGUUUAAAAUCAACGAUGUUGGUUUUCCUGAAACAUGGAAUAAUUGUAAUUCAAGGUAACUGUGAGCACAAGAAACAGACUCUGAUCAAAGCCAAUUCAGCUACCAUGUCUUCCAAAGUUGUCUUGCCUUGCAUGUUACUACAUAAAUAAAUUUUAAUUUAAAAAAAUCAAAUUGCUUUCUUGUCAUGCUAACACUCAGAGCAAGAAAAGCAUGUGUUUGGGGGCUAUAGGAGGACAAGCUGAUAAAUAGACUGGAAGUAAUAUUCUCACAGCAGGAAGCCUACAGCUCCAACUAAAAGCUUUAAUACAGUGGCUCUAUUGCAGCAGCAAUGAAAUUUAUUAAAUCAUCUUGGAAUGUUUAUUACAGAAAUGAGUUUCUAAUUGUAUUGCUGACUCAAAUGUGAAUGCCAAAGAAUAUGCUUUGUACCUUUUUUUUUUUUCCUUUACUGACAUGCAUUAGUAUUGACGGAAGGGGAGAUGUAAAUAGUGUUUGGACAAUUCCGACAUAUCAGGGAGAAAUUAUUUAUUUGGGAGAGCUCGGGACAGUAAAAUGUUCUGUGUUCAAAGGAAGGAUUUUUGUAUUUGUCAAAAAUAUGGGCAUGUGCUGAAAGUGACCCAGUUCUGAACAGAUAGAUUGAUUGUUUUUUGAAAAAAAUAAAUGUUAGUUUAGUUGUUGUUGUUGUUGUUGUUCUUACGUUAGCAUCUUGAUUUGUAUUUUGUUUUUCUUGCUUUGAGAAACUUAAAAUGUGUUUGAUUUUCCCUGAUCUGAUCUUCUCUGG